rnacentral:rRNA from 1 species
GUGGGGAAUAUUGGGCAAUGGGCGAAAGCCUGACCCAGCAACGCCGCGUGAAGGAAGAAGGCCUUCGGGUUGUAAACUUCUUUUAUGAGGGACGAAGGAAGUGACUGUACCUCAUGAAUAAGCCACGGCUAACUACGUGCCAGCAGCCGCGGUAAUACGUAGGUGGCAAGCGUUGUCCGGAUUUACUGGGUGUAAAGGGCGCGUAGGCGGACUGGCAAGUCAGAUGUGAAAUCCAUGAGCUCAACUCAUGAACUGCAUUUGAAACUGUUGGUCUUGAGUAUCGGAGAGGCAAGCGGAAUUCCUAGUGUAGCGGUGAAAUGCGUAGAUAUUAGGAGGAACACCAGUGGCGAAGGCGGCUUGCUGGACGACAACUGACGCUGAGGCGCGAAAGCGUGGGGAGCAAACAGGAUUAGAAACCCGAGUAGUCC